rnacentral:ncRNA from 1 species
GAGCAGUCGGGCGACACCGACUCCGGACGAGGCAGGCCAGUACCCGGUGAGCGACAAGACUGGUCCGG